AGUAAGAUGCCUGAAACAGUUAAGGACUAUUUUGAUAGAAUAGAAUAUGUAUUUUAUUAUACUCUUACUA
rnacentral:tRNA from 1 species